GACGAACGCUGGCGGCGUGCUUAACACAUGCAAGUCGAGCGGAGCGGCGAACGGGUGAGUAACGCGGGAGUAACUGCCCCCCUCCCUGGGAUACCAGUUGGACACGGCUGCUAAUACCGGAUAGUGGGGUAUGACUCGCGUCCUAUGAGCUUUUUGGUGGGGGAGUGGCCUACCACGGCGACGCCGGGUAGCCGGCCUGCGAGGGCGCCCGGCCACAUGGCGCUGAGAUACGGACCAAACUGCUACGGGAGGCAGCAGGGGGGAAUCUGGCGCAGCGGGGGAAACGCUGAGGCAGCAACGCCGCGUGCGGGAUGAAGGCUUUCGGGUUGUAAACCGCUUUCAGCCAUGACGCGGUAGUGGCAGAAGAAGCACCGGCUAACUACGUGCCAGCAGCCGCGGUAAUAC
rnacentral:rRNA from 1 species